UACGUAGGGUGCAAGCGUUAAUCGGAAUUACUGGGCGUAAAGCGUGCGCAGGCGGUCUUGCAAGACAGAUGUGAAAUCCCCGGGCUCAACCUGGGACCUGCAUUUGUGACUGUAUAGCUAGAGUACGGUAGAGGGGGAUGGAAUUCCGCGUGUAGCAGUGAAAUGCGUAGAUAUGCGGAGGAACACCGAUGGCGAAGGCAAUCCCCUGGACCUGUACUGACGCUCAUGCACGAAAGCGUGGGGAGCAAACAGG
rnacentral:rRNA from 1 species